rnacentral:rRNA from 1 species
CCUACGGGAGGCUGCAGUGGGGAAUUUUGGACAAUGGGCGAAAGCCUGAUCCAGCCAUGCCGCGUGCGGGAAGAAGGCCUUCGGGUUGUAAACCGCUUUAGUCCGGGAAAAAGGGGUGCGAGGAUAAUACCCUCGUGCUUUGAUGGUACUGGAAGAAUAAGCACCGGCUAACUACGUGCCAGCAGCCGCGGUAAUACGUAGGGAGCGAGCGUUAAUCGGAAUUACUGGGCGGAACUCGUGCGCAGGCGGUGAAAGCCCCGGGCUUAACCUGGGAACUGCGAUUGUGACUGCAAGGCUAGAGUGUGUCAGAGGGGGGUGGAAUUCCACGUGUAGCAGUGAAAUGCGUAGAGAUGUGGAGGAACACCGAUGGCGAAGGCAGCCCCCUGGGAUGACACUGACGCUCAUGCACGAAAGCGUGGGGAGCAAACAGGAUUAGAUACCCCAGUAGUC